rnacentral:misc_RNA from 1 species
GAACAAGAAGAAGUUUCCCAGAAACUGCUGGAGGAAUUUAACUGUGUACCAACGUUUCUUCCUCCUGAACUUUACAAAAAGUUUUAUCAUGGUUUCUGUAAGCACCAUUUGUGGCCCCUUUUCCAUUAUAUGCUGCCAAUGUGCCCUGAUCAUGGCAUUCGCUUUGAUAAGAUGCUGUGGCAGGCCUAUGUCUCUGCUAAU